GAUGAACGCUGGCGGCGUGCCUAAUACAUGCAAGUCGAGCGAACAGACGAGGAGCUUGCUCCUCUGACGUUAGCGGCGGACGGGUGAGUAACACGUGGAUAACCUACCUAUAAGACUGGGAUAACUUCGGGAAACCGGAGCUAAUACCGGAUAAUAUAUUGAACCGCAUGGUUCAAUAGUGAAAGACGGUUUUGCUGUCACUUAUAGAUGGAUCCGCGCCGCAUUAGCUAGUUGGUAAGGUAACGGCUUACCAAGGCAACGAUGCGUAGCCGACGGGAGAGGGUGAUCGGCCACACUGGAACUGAGACACGGUCCAGACGCCUAAGGGAGGCAGCAGUAGGGAAUCUGCGGCAGUGGGCGAAAGCCUGACGGAGCAACGCCGCGUGAGUGAUGAAGGUCUUCGGAUCGUAAAGCUCUGUUACUAGUGAAGAACAAAUGUGUAAGUAACUAUGCACGUCUUGACGGUACCUAAUCAGAAAGCCACGGCUAACUACGUG
rnacentral:rRNA from 1 species